rnacentral:rRNA from 1 species
GAUCCUGGCUCAGAUUGAACGCUGGCGGCAGGCCUAACACAUGCAAGUCGAACGGUAACAGGAAGCAGCUUGCUGCUUGCUGACGAGUGGCGGACGGGUGAGUAAUGUCUGGGAAACUGCCCGAUGGAGGGGGGUAACUACUGGAAACGGUAGCUAAUACCGCAUAACGUCGCAAGACCAAAGAGGGGACCUUCGGGCCUCUUGCCAUCGGAUGUGCCCAGAUGGGAUUAGCUUGUUGGUGAGGUAACGGCUCACCAAGGCGACGAUCCCUAGCUGGUCUGAGAGGAUGACCAGCCACACUGGAACUGAGACACGGUCCAGACUCCUACGGGAGGCAGCAGUGGGGAAUAUUGCACAAUGGGCGCAAGCCUGAUGCAGCCAUGCCCGCGUGUAUGAAGAAGGCCUUCGGGUUGUAAAGUACUUUCAGCGGGGAGGAAGGGGUUAAGGUUAAUAACCUUAGCCAUUGACGUUACCCGCAGAAGAAGCACCGGCUAACUCCGUGCCAGCAGCUGC